rnacentral:rRNA from 1 species
UACGUAGGGACCAAGCGUUGUUCGGAUUUACUGGGCGUAAAGGGCGCGUAGGCGGCGUGGUAAGUCACUUGUGAAAUCUCUGAGCUUAACUCAGAACGGCCAAGUGAUACUGCUGUGCUAGAGUGCAGAAGGGGCAAUCGGAAUUCUUGGUGUAGCGGUGAAAUGCGUAGAUAUCAAGAGGAACACCUGAGGUGAAGACGGGUUGCUGGGCUGACACUGAUGCUGAGGCGCGAAAGCCAGGGGAGCAAACGGG